rnacentral:rRNA from 1 species
UACAGAGGGUGCAAGCGUUGUUCGGAAUUAUUGGGCGUAAAGCGCGUGUAGGCGGCCAGAUAAGUUGGGUGUGAAAGCCCUCGGCUUAACCGAGGAAGUGCGCCCAAAACUGCUUGGCUUGAGUACCGGAGAGGAUGGUGGAAUUCCCGGUGUAGAGGUGAAAUUCGUAGAUAUCGGGAGGAACACCAGUGGCGAAGGCGACCAUCUGGACGGAUACUGACGCUGAGACGCGAAAGCGUGGGGAGCAAGCAGG